ACAUUUAAUAUGUAUAUACACAUUUAUUCUUAUACGUAUAUAAGUGGAUACAAAGUAUGUCUGAACUUACAAAAGAAAACCUUUUUUUGUCAGACUCUCUAAUUCAGUCUCUUCUAAGUAAUCCAAAUGGGCAUAUGUUUAUGUGAACUUAAGGUUAAUAUGAAUACCUGGACUACAUACAGAAAAUAUCUCUAAAGAUCAAAAGAGUUUGUAAGACUCCAUAGAAUCACAGGAGGUCAGAUAAAACCAGAUGAUGCAGUAGAAACAGCAUUAAAUAGGAUUAAAAGUCACUCCCUAUUGCCCUGUCCCAUAUGAUCUUGGAUGAAUAACCUUGACAUCUAUAAAACUCAGUUCAUUUUUAUUUAAAUGCAGACAUGAGUAACAAUAACCUGUGAGAUUUAUUUCAUUUCCAGCAUUCCUGGUAUGUGGUAAAUACAUAAUAGGUGAUAGCUAUCAAUGGCAACAUAGUAUUUUUUAUAUAGUUAAUAUCCAGCAGGCAGCUUAGAUAUAUUAAGUCCAAUAUUACUUGUGGAGUGGUAACAAAUUCUUGUCCAACAUAAGGCAUAUAUCAUUGCGGGGGAAAGCCUAUGGAGGUUGGAACUGUCCAUAUAGUAUGACUUAGUAAAGUGAUCUUAAGCACCACAGAAAGAACGUUUUUCUUCUGUUAUAGUCUAUGCUGCAUGCUAACCAGUUUAGGGGUAUAGUAUGUAAAUGAUCAGUUUGUAAAAAUUAACAGUUCUCAAACAUUUUCUUUUUUAUGGUGGCUAGCUAGA
rnacentral:lncRNA from 1 species